rnacentral:rRNA from 1 species
GACGAACGCUGGCGGCGUGCCUAAUACAUGCAAGUCGAACGAGUGGUGGACGGGUGAGUAAUGUAUGGGGAUCUGCCCGAGAGAGGGGGAUAACUCCUGGAAACGGUGGCUAAUACCGCAUACUAUCGGAUGACCCCAUAUGUGAUUAGCUAGGAGGUGGGGUAAAGGCGCAACUAGGCGACGAUCCAUAGCUGGUCUGAUAGGAUGAUCGGCCACAAGGGGACUGAGACACGGCCCAGACUCCUACGGGAGGAAGCAGUGGGGAAGAUUGCACAAUGGGCGCAAGCCUGAUGCAGCCAUGCCGCGUGUAUGAAGAAGGCCUUAGGGUUGUAAAGUACUUUCAGCGGGGAGGCGUUACCCGCAGAAGAAGCACCGGCUAACUCCGUGCCAGCAGCCGCGGUAAUAC